UGGGGAAUCUUCCGCAAUGGACGAAAGUCUGACGGAGCAACGCCGCGUGAGUGAAGAAGGUUUUCGGAUCGUAAAACUCUGUCUUUUGGGGCGAACGUGAGUAUGGUGAACAAUCAUAGUCAGUGACGGUACCAAAGGAGGAAGCCACGGCUAACUACGUGCCAGCAGCCGCGGUAAUACGUAGGUGGCAAGCGUUGUCCGGAAUUAUUGGGCGUAAAGAGCGCGUAGGCGGGAUAGUCAGUCUGUUGUAAAGUGCGGGGCUCAACCCCGUGAUGGCAAUGGAAACAGCUAUUCUUGAGUGCAGGAGAGGAAAGUGGAAUUCCCAGUGUAGCGGUGAAAUGCGUAGAUAUUGGGAGGAACACCAGUGGCGAAGGCGACUUUCUGGACUGUGUCUGACGCUGAGGCGCGAAAGCCAGGGGAGCGAACGGGAUUAGAUACCCCGGUAGUCCUGGCCGUAAACGAUGGGUACUAGGUGUGGGAGGUAUCGACCCCUUCCGUGCCGGAGUUAACGCAAUAAGUACCCCCGCCUGGGGAGUACGGUCGCAAGACUGAAACUUAAAUGAAUUGAC
rnacentral:rRNA from 1 species